rnacentral:lncRNA from 1 species
GGUAGCAGAGAUGAGGAGGGAGAAGAGGAGGAGGAAGAAGAGGAGAAAAGGGGGAGAGGACGCCAUAGUGGAGCGCAGACAAAGAGAGAGAGAGAGAGCUUUCAUGAAGGGAAUAAUGGUUUUAUCCAUGCAUUCGUUCAUCAAGAAAUGGAGAGAGAGAUCGAGUACGUUGGAAAGUGGCGGUGAGUUCGUUCUUUUCUGGGUUGGGGGGUGGCAUGGAGAGGGAAGGUAGCCGGGGCCGGCCUUGGGGCAGGUCGAAUUGGGCGACCGUCCCAGGCCCCAGACCCUGCAUUGAUGUUUCAAUUGGGUGCAAGGAUAACUUUCUACAAUAUUAUAACAAGAAAAAUAAUUAUAUAGGUUAAUGAUGGGUUUUACACGCUGCUUAAUGAAUAUAUCUAUAGUAAAUUAUUGCAUAUAGAUUAAUUUUUUAAUGAUAAUUAAUGUUUAAAGUAUGUUAAUUUUUAAUAGAGAAGGUCUCAUUUUUUUCAUUUAGCCUCAGGUCUAAAAUAUGUUAGGACCGGCUCUGAAGGUAGCCAAUGUUUCCGGUGCGUGACGGAGAAGGGGGGGAG